rnacentral:rRNA from 1 species
UAAGAAGGGGGCUAGCGUUGUUCGGAAUCACUGGGCGUAAAGCGCACGUAGGCUGAUUGGUAAGUUGGGGGUGAAAUCCCGGGGCUCAACCUCGGAACUGCCUUCAAUACUGCCAGUCUUGAGUCCGAGAGAGGUGAGUGGAAGUCCUAGUGUAGAGGUGAAAUUCGUAGAUAUUAGGAAGAACACCAGUGGCGAAGGCGGCUCACUGGAUCGGUACUGACGCUGAGGUGCGAAAGCGUGGGGAGCAAACAGG